rnacentral:rRNA from 1 species
AUUGAACGCUGGCGGCAGGCCUAACACAUGCAAGUCGAGCGAGCGGCGGACGGGUGAGUAAUGUGUGGGAAACUGCCCGAGGGAGGGGGAUAACACCUGGAAACGGUAGAUAAUACCGCAUACCAUCAGAUGUGCCCAGAUGGGAUUAGCUAGUAGGUGGGGUAACGGCUCACCUAGGCGACGAUCCCUAGCUGGUCUGAGAGGAUGACCAGCCACACUGGAACUGAGACACGGUCCAGACUCCUACGGGAGGCAGCAGUGGGGAAUAUUGCACAAUGGGCGCAAGCCUGAUGCAGCCAUGCCGCGUGUGUGAAGAAGGCCUUCGGGUUGUAAAGCACUUUCAGCGGGGAGGCGUUACCCGCAGAAGAAGCACCGGCUAACUCCGUGCCAGCAGCCGCGGUAAUUC